AUGAUAAUCGGGGCGGCCAUCAGAAAACCCCGGGUGGGAAAUCGCCCGCCGGGUCUCCCUAAGUCCCCGAAGUCGCCUCCCACUUUUGGUGACUGCUUGUUUAUUUACGUGCAGUCAAUGAGAGUAAAUGGAUGCGCGCCAGCACAGGCCGACCCCGAGGGUGGCGCGGUGCUCUUCGCAGCUUCUCUGUGGAUACCGGUUGGCGCGGCUGCGGGGCCGCUCGCGGCGUCUCCCUGGUGGCUCAGCUCGCCGCGGUCGGGUCCCACUCCGGGUCAGAAUCCGCCGCGGCUGGGACGGCCUUGCGGCGAGGCAGUGGGCGGGCCACCGCGUGGGUCCGGCAGUCCCUCCUCCCGCCGAGGCGCCGCCCAGACUCGCUCUCCAGCCGGCCCUGCUCCCCACCCUCGACCGCCCCAGCACCCCUGCCUCCGCCGGCCCGGUCUCCGCUCCUCCUACGCCGGCCCGGCCCGGCCCCCUCCUCCUCGCCGCCUGCGCUCGCGGCUGCCCUCUCUUGCCUAUUCCCACACCGCCCUCAGCCGCUCCCUGUCACACUCCAGUCUGAAGAGAAAUAGAGCGCAGAACGCAUCGAUAGCUCUGCCCUCUGCUGCCGCCCGGCCCCGAACUCAUCGGUGUGCUCGGAGCUCGAUUUUCCUAGGCGGCGGCCGCGGCGGCGGAGGCAGCAGCGGCGGCGGCAGUGGCGGCGGCGACGGUGGCGGCGGCUCGGCCAGUACUCCCGGCCCCCGCCAUUUCGGACUGGGAACGAGCGCGGCGCAGGCACUGAAGGAGGCGGCGGGGCCAGAGGCUCAGCGGCUCCCAGGUGCGGGAGAGAGGUAUGGAGCGGACCACCCCUCCUGGGCCCCUGCCUGGGUUCUGACCCUCUUUGCCGGCGCCGGGUGGGGCCGGCGUCGAGUGAAUGAAUUAGGGGUCCCGGGAGGGGCGGGCGGGGGGCGCGGGCGCGGGGCCCGGGCGGGCGGGGUGAGGGGGGUCUGCACGGGGAGGCGCGCGGACGCGGCAGCGCGGGGAGUGAGGAAUGGGCGGUGCGGGGCUGAGGAGGGUGAGGCAGGAGGCGGUCGCCGCUUGUGCUGCUUCCUGGACGGGGAACCCCUUCCUUCCUCCUCCCCGAGAGCCGCGGCUGGAGGCUGCUGGGGAGAAACUCGGGCCGGGCUGGCUGCCCCUCGGGGCGGUUGGGUGCGGUGGAGGUUACUCCCGCUGCGCCCCGGCCUCCCUUCCCCCUCUCCCCGCUCCUGCACCUCUUGCCUCCCUUGCCAGCACUCGGCUGCCUCGGUCCAGCCUUCCCUGCUGCAUUUGGCAUCUCUAGGACGAAGGUAUAAACUUCUCCCUCGAGCGCAGGCUGGACGGAUGGUGGUCCUUUUCCGUGUGUAG
rnacentral:lncRNA from 13 species